CGCAACCCUUGUCCUUAGUUACCAGCACGUUAUGGUGGGCACUCUAAGGAGACUGCCGGUGGACAAACCGGAGGAAGGUGGGGAUGACGUCAAGUCAUCAUGGCCCUUACGGCCUGGGCUACACACGUGCUACAAUGGUCGGUACAAAGGGUUGCCAAGCCGCGAGGUGGAGCUAAUCCCAUAAAACCGAAUCGUAGUCCGGAUCGCAGUCUGCAACUCGACUGCGUGAAGUCGGAAUCGCUAGUAAUCGUGAAUCAGAAUGUCACGGUGAAUACGUUCCCGGGCCUU
rnacentral:rRNA from 1 species